rnacentral:rRNA from 1 species
AACCCUUAUCGUUAGUUGCCAUCUGGUAAUGCAGGGGACUCUAGCGAAACUGCCACCGUAAGGUGAGAGGAAGGUGGGGAUGACGUCAAAUCAGCACGGCCCUUAUGUCCAGGGCUACACACGUGUUACAAUGGUCGGUACAGAGGGCAGCUACCUGGUGACAGGAUGCUAAUCUCGAAAACCGGUCUCAGUUCGGAUCGAAGUCUGCAACUCGACUUCGUGAAGCUGGAUUCGCUAGUAAUCGCGCAUCAGCUAUGGCGCGGUGAAUACGUUCCCGGGCCUU